rnacentral:rRNA from 1 species
UACAUGGGGUGCAAACGUUGCUCGGAAUUAUUGGGCGUAAAGAGCGCGCAGGCGGUCGUUCAAGUCGCGUGUGAAAGCCCCCGGCUCAACUGGGGAGGGUCACGCGAUACUGAUCGACUCGAAGGCAGGAGAGGGUAGUGGAAUUCCCGGUGUAGUGGUGAAAUGCGUAGAUAUCGGGAGGAACACCAGUGGCGAAGGCGACUACCUGGCCUGUUUCUUGACGCUGAGGCGCGAAAGCUAGGGGAGCAAACGGG